GGCUGGUCUGAUGGUAGUGGGUUAUCAGAGCUUAUUAACGUUAGUGUCACUGCAGUUGGUAUACAAACCCCCACUGCUAAAUUUGACUGGCUUUAA
ensembl:Y_RNA Y_RNA Y RNA